UACAGAGGUCCCAAGCGUUGUUCGGAUUUAUUGGGCGUAAAGGGUGCGUAGGCGGCGGAGUAAGUUGGGUGUGAAAUCCCGGGGCUCAACCUCGGAAUUGCAUUCAAUACUGCUUCGCUUGAGUACUGGAGAGGAGACUGGAAUUCAUGGUGUAGCAGUGAAAUGCGUAGAGAUCAUGAGGAAGACCAGUGGCGAAGGCGGCAUCCUGGACCAACACUGACGCUGAGGAGCGAAAGCCAGGGGAGCAAACGGG
rnacentral:rRNA from 1 species